rnacentral:rRNA from 1 species
AUUGAACGCUGGCGGCAGGCUUAACACAUGCAAGUCGAGCGAGCGGCGGACGGGUGAGUAAUGUAUGGGGAUCUGCCUGAUGGAGGGGGAUAACUACUGGAAACGGUGGCUAAUACCGCAUACUAUCGGAUGUACCCAGCUGGGAUUAGCUAGUAGGUGGGGUAAAGGCUCACCUAGGCGACGAUCACUAGCUGGUCUGAGAGGAUGACCAGCCACACUGGAACGGAGACACGGCCCAGACUCCUACGGGAGGCAGCAGUGGGGAAUAUUGCACAAUGGGCGCAAGCCUGAUGCAGCCAUGCCGCGUGUGUGAAGAAGGCCUUAGGGUUGUAAAGUACUUUCAGCGGGGAGGCGUUACCCGCAGAAGAAGCACCGGCUAACUCCGUGCCAGCAGCCGCGGUAAUUC